CCAUUGGAUGACGAAGAGAUGGUCUCCUACAUCCUCGCCGAUCUCGACGUUGAUUUCAAUCCUCUUGUGUCUGCCAUCAUGGCACGAGUCGAACCCAUCUCCGUCGUUGAGCCUUAUGCACAGCUUCUGGGCUUUGAGG